AGUUGUUAUCCGGAAACCGAUAUAAUGCAAAAUCUAUCUAUUUCUACUGCCAUUCAUUCAAGUUAACUUCUUUAAUCAACUACAUAUAUUUCUGGUUGAGUUUUCGGCAUUUGAAGGACAUUAUCUCUGAUCGGGUUUUUUUGACAUUUGAAGGACAUUUGAGAACAUUAAUGGCCUGAUAUCCUCACAUUACUUCUUGCGAUAAAACGACCGAUGAACAACCGAGAUACAAACAUAGUCGAUUAUGUCAACAUGCUUCAGUAUGCAGUGAAAAAGCUAAAUAUUUUUGUAAAGUUGGACAAUCAUCUAGUAGUGUCGAAGGAUCUUUGUUACAUGGUCAUGGAUCUCGGUCUCAUGGCGAUGCAUCUGCUGAUGUCGUAUCUACUCCUGCUGCACAUGCUCUCGUCAAACCUGCUCCUAACAAACAUGAUCUUGCCGCACCUCCAUGAAGUACAAUAUAUAGUUACAUCCAAUGGUUUUUAUAGAGUUUUCCAUCCUUAUCUGACCUCGGUGCCAACGGGAGAUCCCCCUAAUGCUAGCUUAUCAAGAGAUAUUAGAGGAUGAACAAGAAAUGUUGGACUAUGUCGUAGAUGUCAUGUAGAAAUUCCAUCUGAUUGUCACUAUACUCAAGGGUUCCAUUUCUAGAUGAGAGGCAUAAGAAGGCACCCAUGUGUGGGACUCGAUACAUAAAGUAUUAACACAUGCAUGCAUGAGGUGCUUUUUAGGAUAUGAGGCUAAUGAUGAUCAUGGGUGUGAAAUUUAAUGAUUAGUUAGACUCUUAUAUAAACCGGUUGCAUUUUUUGAUAAUAUUUUGAGUUGUAUUUUAUGACAUUUCUCUUGGGAAUUUAGUAUGGAUAUCUUUUUAUAAAUAUGCGACUUAUGUAUGACUAAACAUUUUAUAUAUGAUAUUUUGUUUU